UCCACGAGGGACACCCUAGCAGCCGCUACCGUAGGCGACGCCCGAGUAGGGGCGGGAACGUGGUGGCGUUCCGCCAGUUCUUGGGCCCUCUGGUCUGCCUUGAGUUGAUGAUCGAGCUCGGAGCUCCUGAGUGCCUCUUCCCAGUCGGACUAACUGGUGAGAGGUCGCCGAGGAUCCGGAGAGUAGCAGAAUUCGCGUCGUGUCCUGCGAUGCCCAGGCCUUCAGCUGUUUCGACAAUGCUUCGCAGCGGCUCGGUGACCCAUACCAGCGUACUUGGCGUCUUCUCCAUCUGGUACUUUGGGGUUCUGUCGAUCAAGUGUUCUUCACGACCGAGCGUGCAUGUCAGCGAGUUGCGUUCUCAUCGCAAUCGAAAUGUUCAACCAUUGCAGUACCGGUGGACCAAGAGCAGCAGAGUUCAAGGACUAUCAAAUGCUGGUUGAAGAGAAGGCUGGAGGUCGGCG